GGGCCAAUGAAGACCCGGCCCUGGAGAGACGCCUUUCCGAGCAGGCGGAAGUGCCUAGGCAGGACUUCCGAUUUCUUCUGGAGGCGGUCAUUUUUGUCACUCUUGAGCCUGGCCACCUGAUGUAAUACUUAAGUAGUUGGUGGAACCCAAGAUAAAGUGAGCGGGAGACGCAGAAGUAGAUGUGUCCCCACUGACAGAGGCGGUUCCGAGACUUGGUGAGAGUGCUGCUUGGGGUGACCCCGUGCGUUUGGCUGAGCCCGCAGCACUCGGGCCUGUUUCUUGGCGACUCGCCGCUUUGCCUCUCCGACGGGCCUUGAUGGUUGUGUUUGCCCUGACGGACCCCGCGCAAGUUGGUGCUGCAUCCUCCACACCGACACCCGUGGGAACUCCUGCCUCUGAAUCCUAAAGACCCGAAUGAGGAGUGCCCGCACGGUUCACUUUCAGUCUGGCCCUUUGUUUAGAACCUCGGCGCCUUCCUGGCGGAGGUGCCCAUUUUAACCAUCCACGGUGUGCUGAGGAGUGGAACGUAUUACAGGCAGAGGAACUAUCAUAUGCAGAGGCUUGGAAGUGAGAUCGAGUGGAGUGCUCGGGAAACCUGGGGCCUGUCUCUUACAUACAGGAAAACAGAUUGGGAGUGGUGUGGCAGCCUGAGCAGUUGGGCCUUCAUUCCGAGGGUGAUGGUAGCCAUGGAGAGUUGUGACUGAGAGACUUGAUCUGAGAGAGUAACAAUGGUCCGCAUAGCACCUCAGGCCUUUCUUGUCUAAGGAAGACUUGCAGCUGACUACCCAGCAGUCUGUGAAUGAUCUCGCAGGUCCAGGGACAGGAGACGCACACCAGUGGACCUUUUCGAGCCAGUGUGUUGACCCCUGAGCAGCCUCAUCGGAACCGACAAUCUGGGUACAUACACAAACACCCUGAGCUGUUGGGCCUCCGGCUUGCUCUAGGGAAACCAACAACAGGUGAAGUUUGAUGGACAGAACUAGACGCGCCUGAGACGGUCCCUCCCCAGCAAAGCACACCCACGAGUGAGGGACAGUGGUCGCCGCCAUGUGUAGAGGAGGCUUUUGCUUCCUAGUUGCUGAGAUCCUAGUUCUUGCAGGAGAAGACAACCAGUGGGUGGGUGCCCCCACCCUCGUGGCCACAGGGAAUCCCUGGACAGGUGACAAGGCCGCCCCGAAGGCAAGGCUGCUCCUCGCUGGACCCGCUGAAGAGGCCCCUGUGAUCUGGUCAGAGGGGGUGAAGAAGUGCGGGAAGCACAGGUAUUUUCUCAGUGGUGUCGGCUCCUACAAAGGCAAAGGGGGCAUCCUGGCCGGGAAGGCCCCAUUGGACCGACUGAAGGCCAGGCCCCCAGUGUCUUCCUAAGAGUGACGUUGUCCCAUCUGACUGCAACUCAUGUGCUCUGGCCACGAGCAUCCCCAGCUGCUCUGAAUGACGGUGGAACUACAAGUGUGCCCAAACACAGCGAGUGUGCCCCCACGGCACUCCCUGUGCCCUGCCCUCACGGACCCCACGUGCCCUGCCUGGAUUCGCGGACGGGCGUUUCUCCAGCCACACUGUGGUGCCAGCCCCUGUGACAGCAACAGAGGUGCCCUGGCCCGGUAGCCCUGAGGCAUCCGACCGAAGGCACGAAGAGCAGCAUCUUCAGGCCUGUGUUUCUUCUCAGUGGUGCAGGCUUCUCCAAUAGGAAGAGCUUGGCUCUGGCCAGACGGGCCCCGAGGGCACCGAUCAGACGCGGGAAGAGAACACUGAUUCUCCACCAUAGUUCUCAUCCUGGCCCCUCUCACUGGGACUCUCACUGGGACUCUCACUGGGCCCUGGACGAGUGGACCCUGAGUGCUCGGACUGCAGCUGGGAACAGACAGACCUCCAAGCACAGGUGGGUGUUGCCCCUCUUACUGCAGCUGGGGUGCUUUGGCCGGAUGGUUUCCAGGUGAUGUGAGCACAAGGAGGAACAGAAGUGUCUUCUGGCACAUCUGUUGUCAACGAAGGUUUCUCUGCCGACAGGGACAAGAGUGCUCGGCCUGGGGAUUCCGGGCGGUCUGACUUUGGGCAAGAAGGAAUGUGUCCUCCAGGGGAGGCUCGCUGUCUCCAAUUGUAACAGAGGUGCUACGGCUGGCAGGACCCUGGAGUUCAGGUCUCAGCCUCCCCCAACACGAGCCGAGGUACUGGGUGUCCCCCUUGGCCCUGUGCUAAAGCUGAGUCCUUCAGACAUGGAGCUGGGGCCUGGGGCGGACAUGCUGACGCCGGAACGGUCAUGACCCAAAGGAGCUGCAGAUGCCUUGAAAGGAAAUGGGUCUGGAGUCAUGUUAGCAAAAGGGGAGCUGCGCCUAGUGCUGGGCAUCCUCCUGAUGAGGGCUCCAGUUCCGUGGAUGAUGGCUGGCUGACCAAGAUGCCAAAGGUGGAACACGGGAGUGUCACGUAUGCAGAAGCUGACCGACUCGUGCUCGCACUGGGUGCCUGGGCUUCCGCAGAGGUUAAGACUGGACCAUGUCCUGAGACUGCCAGAUCUCCCACAGGGUGAGAGCUAGCAAAGCUGCUGGGAGCGGGGGGCUGUCAGGAGGAGCCUGGGAGGGGGGCCUGGGAGCCAUAUCAAUUUCAUCAGAGUCAAAGGCAGGCUUGGAUGCCCAGUUGGCUGACAUCCUGGCGGAUGGAAAGCAGGUAACUGCAAAACCAGGGAUGGAUUGGCUAGUAAAGACAGGGGCACUAGGGACAGUGACUCUGCUCCAGCCCAUCAGGGACUCCACAUGUGACUGAAGUACGGCUCCCGGACUCAAGCAAAGGUUCAGAGUUGGGGUAGGUCUCCUGAUUAUACUGGAAGUGGGCUGGUAGAGACUGGAGCUGUUCCACACCGAGCAGUCCUGGUGAUGCAGUUUUGGAAUAUAGGUGAGCCUCAGUGGGGUGGAGUCUGGAGCUGACGACGACCAAGAAAGAAUUCUUGAGGCGUCUUUGGUGCAAAAUGGUGGUUUAUUAAAGCACGGGGACAGGACCUAUGGGCAGAAAGCUGCUGCCCUGUGGUCUUGAGGAGUGGCUGAUUAUUAUACUCAGAGUUGGGGAGGUGAGGACAAAGGACAAAGGGGGUGUCCAGAAGGACUGUCAUAUCCUAGAGUCUCAGGAUCCUGGGGGCCUGGUUAUUGUCAAACCAAGGUUGUUUUUUUCCCUCUAAUGAGACACUAACAUGAAGACAGUUGGGAGUUUCCGGGAGGAAUGUUACAUUCCUCCUAUCACACGUCCUUGUCAAUGGGCUUCAGGUUCAGAAGAAAUCCAAUUUUAUUUACAUUUCCUUCUGCCUCAGCCUCCCUUAAUUUUAUGGAGGGGAGGGUGAUGUUAGGGCUUCAGGAAACUGAGUUACGGGUCUCUUGGAAGUUAGGCCAUUGAUAAGAAAGCUGCUUCCUUGUAAAUCACUAGGACAUUUGGAAACUGAGGGAGACUCCUGUCCUGCAGGACUGUGAUCUCUAUCAGUCAACCAUUGUUUCCUUUAGGCGGCCAGCGGUGCCUGAGGAAUGUCACAUAUAUCCCGAAGGGGGUGGGUGUAGGGUGCCAGUUUCUGCUUUGUUCUCAGCUUGCCUUCUGUUCCCUCAUCGCUGGUUAAUGAGGAGGUAACACACAGUGGAUCCUUAGGGAUACCGGAAAGUGAAAGCCUGGGAAUGGGGAGCAGAGCCCAUGUGGGUUACACCCAAUUCCAAAAUGCCCUGGGAGGUCACCUCUAUAGAUGUGCUGACUGCCCCGGGCGAAGGGACGGGGAGGCAGUGAUGGGCUGGCCAGUGAGAACCGAGGCACUGGUGGAAGUGAAGGAGGGACACGGGGCCAGAUGAACGGGUGGGUGACCACUGCUUGGGGAACAGGAGCUGGGUCAGGAAAGGGGAGAAGGUUGCUUUAAAUUGCCCAUGUAGAGCUGUGUGUUCACUGUGUGAUCCUGGGAACAUAGUACAUAAUUUGGAGGUGCCUCUAGCUACCUACUCUUCCAAGGCAGACCAUGCACUGUUCAGCCUGAUGCUGGGGACUCAUCACUGGAUGUGCGACAGAAAAGUACUGGCCAGUAAAGGGUGGAAGCAAGGGCGCCAGAGGGCAAAGGGUGGGGCCAGCGGCCCUUCUCCAGUCCCUUUGGGAUUUCCGCACCUGGUUGCAGGUGUUGGGGACCAGCAGUGCCCCCGCACUAUGUGGGCACUGCUCAGGACUGCUGAUGCUGGCUGCCCGCAGAAGUGGGACCACCGGGGCUCGGGGUCUGCAGCCUCCUCGGCACCUGGCCCAGGGCUGUCGCUGAGGCAACCUGUGCCUCUGGGUCCGCUCGCCAUUUCUCCCGGGGCAGAGGAAGCAGAGCCUGCUCAGAGCCGAGCCCUGGAGCAACCUAAGUCUUGAUGGACUGGGGGCCUGGCUCACUCUAGGUCAGUGUAAGAGAGACCCUGACGGAGAGGAUGAGGUUGGGCUCUGUUUCCUGCGGGUACUGGUGCACCCAGAGUCUGCAGAUGGCUUCAGCUGGCAGGUGACGGGGGCGGGGCAUGGAGUGACCCAGCCACACAGGGUGUGAUUCACCCAGGCAGCCGCCACGGACAACACCUGUUUACCCUCACAUCCUCCCUUUCCUCCAUAUUGGUAGGUUGGGUUUCUGGAAAAUCUGCUUACAAGGGACCCGUCUGUGGUCUGUUCUAGUCCUGGAGCAAGACAAGACCAGCCUUGUCGCAGCCCUGGAGAAGUGUGAGUCCCAAGCAUCAGCAGCUGGGCUGCCGAGUUUUCUGAGGUAGGGGCCGAUGGAAUGGCCUAGCCUGCCAGGUGCUGUGCCCCACCACAUCCCUUCCAGGCAGGCAGGUGCUCUUCACUUCUUCUUACAGUUUUACAGAUUACAAAAUGCAUGAACCCUCAGCAUCUUCCAGAGGGCCCCACAUGGUGGUGAAGCCAGGGUUUGAAGCUGGUCUGUCUGAUUCCAGAGCUCAUGCACUCACCACCUGACUGUGGUGCCCCCUCAUCAUGCAGGGAUCACGGAUGACCAUUUUUCUAGUCCGGAUGCUCAGCACCAUGGCACCCCUGUAAGGAUCCCACGCUGCCUACCAGGUCUGAAUUGGUGGCACUCCUAAGGCCCCCACAGGCCGCACUGGGCUCCAGUCCCCUCAGAAGGUGUAGGACACAGGUCACUAGUUGCCAGCAUGAGCCCAUGACGUAUCUUUUGUAGCUGUAUGGCAAACCAUACAGCUGCGGGUGAGAGCUCUUCUCCAGAUCAAGGCCUCGAGAGGCACUGCCAAUGGGUGCAGAAUGCGCUCCGCUUUCAAAGUCUUCUGUCCCAAGGCAGAAUCACUUGUGGUCACUUAACCCUGCUUUGCCUUAGGAAAGAGGAAAUUCCCUCCAAUUCCUACUUUACCGAGAGAGCUUUUUGAAAGCUAUGUUAAACUUCAUCAAUUACUUCCCCCACAGCUUUGAGAUAUGCAGGUGGCUUUUCUCCUUUAGUCUCUUAAGAUGGUAAAUUGCAUUGAUUGAUUUUCCAUAGGAAACCAGCCUUGGCUACCUGCUGCAAUUUCCACUUGGUCAUUCUAGAGUACACUUUUAAAUUUGGUUAGGAGGGAUUUCCUAAUAUGUUAAAGAUUGUCAUAUCUGUGUUUAUGAGUACAUUAAUCUGUACAUUUGUUUUUAUUUAUUUGUUUUUAUUUUUUAUUUUUUUUAAAGAUUUUAUUUAUUUAUUUAUUUGACAGAGAGAGAGAGACAGCGAGAGAGGGAACACAAGCAGGGGGAGUGGGAGAGGGAGAAGCAGGCUCCUCGCAGAGCAGGGAGCCCGAUGCGGGACUCGAUCCCAGGACCCUGGGAUCAUGACCUGAGCUGAAGGCAGUCGCUUAACCAACUGAGCCACCCAGGCGCCCUGUACAUUUAUUUUUAUAUUUUGGUAUGAAGGUAGUGUUAACCUCACAGAAUGGAUUCAGAGAAUCUGCCUCCUCUAUUUUCUGAGAGUUUGUACAAUGCUGGUAAAAUAUCUUCUAUAUAGGAUGAAAUUCACCAGGAGAACUCUUUGAACCUGCAAUUUUCUUGCUCAAAAGGUGUUUAUAAUCACCUUAUCCUUUGAAUGUCUUCCAAUCUGUAGCAAUACCCCCUUUCCCCUGAUACUGAUAGUUUGAAAUGUCACUUUUUAUUUCAUGAUUAAUCUUAGUAGACAUUUAUCAGUUGUAUUAGUCUUCUACAAAUCCCACUUUAGCUUUGGUAAUUUUCUGUGCUGUAUAUUUUCUAUUUCCAUUCCGAUAUUUGUUAUCUAUUUCUAUUUUGGAUUUAACUUGCUUUCAUUUCUCUGUUUUUAGGAUGGAAACUUAAGUCACUGUUUUUAGAUCUUUCUUAUUUUUUAAUAUAAACACUUAAAGAUGCAACAUUCCCUUAUGCACUGCUUUAACCACAUACUGUAAAUUUAGAUUUGCUCUAGGGUGCCUGGGUGGCUUAGUCUGUUAAGCUUUCAACUCAGGUCAUGAUCCUGGGGUCUUGGGAUGGAGUCCCAGAGUUGGACUCCCUGCUCAGCGGGGAGCCUGCUUCUCCUCUGCGUGCCACUCCCCCUGCUUGUGUUCUCUCUCUCUCAAAUAAAUAAAUAAGAUCUUUUAAAAAAAUUUUUAUUUGCUCUGUUUUAGUUAUCAUUCAGUUCAAAUUAUUUCUAAUUUUAUAUUGUUCCCUCUUUGACCCACUGGUUAUGUGAAAGUAUGUUUUCAUUUCUUUCUAAAUAUUUGCAGAUUUUCUAGAUAUCUUAGUUAUUGGUUUCUGCUUUAAUUCCACUGUGUUCAGAGAAAAAACCCUGUAUAUAUGUUCCACUUUGGAAAUUUGUCAAGACAUAGUUUUUGACCCAAUAUAUGCCUACCUCAUGAACCUUCCAGGUUCACUUGAAAAAGAAGUAUGUUCUACCCAGCAAUUGCACUACUAGGUAUUUAUCCCAAGGAUAUAAACAUAGUGAUUUGAAGGAGCACAUGUGCCCCAGUGUUUAAAGCAGCAAUGUCCACAAUUGCCAAAAUAUGGAAAGAGCCCAGAUGUCCCUUGACAGAUGAAUGGAUAAAGAAGAGGUGAUAUAUAUAUAUAUAUAUAUAUAUAUAUAUAUAUAUAUAUAUAUAUAUAUUUAUGUUGGAAUAUACUCAGCUUUCAAAAAGAAUGAAGUCUUGCCAUUUGCAAUGACGUGGAUGAAACUAGAGGGUAUUAUGCUAAGCAAAAUAAGUCAGAGAAAGACAAAUACCAUAUGAUUCCACUGCUAUGUGGAAUUUAAGAAACAAAACACAUGAACAUAAGGGAAGGGAAGGAAAAAUAAAAGAAGAUAAAAAGAAAGAGGGAGGCAAACAAUAAUAGACUCUUAGCUAUAAAAAACAAUCUGGCGGGGGGGGUGCCUGGGUGGCUCAGUUGGUUAAGCGACUGCCUUCAGCUCAGGUCAUGAUCCUGGAGUCCCUGGAUCGAACCCCGUGUCAGGCUCCCCGCUCGGUGGGGAGUCUGCUUCUCCUUCGGACCCUUUCCCCUCUCAUGCUCUCUCUCACUCUCUCUCUCUCCAAUAAAUAAAUAAAAUCUUUAAAAAAAAAUUAAAAAAAUAAAAAAUAAAUAAAAACAAUCUGGGUUGCUGGAUGGGGAGGUGGUUGGGAGGAUGGGGUAUGUGGGUGACGGGCAUUAAGGAGGGCACCUGAAAUAAUGAGGAAUGGGUGUUGUACGCAACUGAUGAAUCACUAAAUUCUACCCCUGAAGCUAAUAAUACAGUAUGUUAAUUAAAUAAAUUUAAAUAAAAAAAAAAGUACUGUCUGACAUCAGCCUCUUACCCUGAAAUACAGUUCAUUCAAGCAAGACAGAAUAAAUGUUUCAUCCAUGUCCUUUAAAAAGAAAGAAAAGAAAAAGAAGUGUGUUCAGCUAAUGUUGGAUAUAGUGUUUUACAAAUACCAUUAGGUCAAGAUAAAUCUUUUGCACUCCGAUUUGCUUCUUGUUUACUUAUUCUAACAAUUAGUGAGAAAGAAGUGUUAACAUCCUCAAGUAUGAUUGUAAUUUGUAUAUUAUCCUUUAGUUUGGUCGCUUUUUGCCUUAUAUAUUUCAAAGUUCUGCAGUUAAGUACAUAAACAUAUUUAUGUCUUCCCAAUGAAUGUUUUUUUAAGUGUGUAAACCACUGCUAUAAAAAGGUCGAUUUUAUGUGUAUCAGAAUACUUGGACAAAAACUCACCGCAGCAUGCUUAUGUUACCAGUAGCCGAAAACAAUACAAAGGUGCAUCAGCAGCAGAAUGGAUAGAUCCAUUAUUAGCUCAACAGCAAUGAAAAUGGAUAAUAUGCAGAUACACAGGAUGACAUGGGUGAAUCUUAUAUG